UUUAGAUGGUCAUUCUCUAUUGGAUGACUUUUGACCUGUUAUACAGUAUCAUGGAUGAUAUAAAUACAGCACAGGUAUUAAAUGCUCUCAGCAUCAAAGUCUGAAUGAAACUGAUCAUUAAAACAGUGUUUAGAGCGAGAAGAUCGACCCAAAAUAACAUGAAGUAAAUCAUGAGUGUCUGUUUCUGAAAAUGAUAAAUAGAAGUUUAUUAGCAAAGACACUAAAAGGCAAAACAGUGUUUCUGCUGUCUUCAGGGAAAUGAUGUGGAGUGUGUUUGCAUAUUGAUCAGAUCUUCAGUGUGUGAGAGUGUUUAUAGUGCUGUGAGUUUAACACUUCAUCACUGACACACACAACCAUCUUCAUCAACAUGACCUUCAUCAUCAUCUUCAUCUGGACACUUUUAUACUGCUUUAUACUACAAGGAUGUAGAGCUCAGAUCACAGCAACUCAGACUCCUUCAGUGAAAACUGCUAAACCAGGAGAAACUGUAGAGAUGAGCUGUAAAUUCAGUAGUGAUGAUACAGCCUGCAGCCCACCCUGUGUGUCCUGGUACUUACAGAAACCUGGAGAAGCUCCUAAACUCCUGAUCUAUCGUGUAAACAGCCGCCAGUCAGGAACUCCAUCUAGAUUCAGUGGCAGCAGUGGAUCUAGCAAAGAUUUCACUCUGACCAUCAGUGCAGUCCAGACUGAAGAUGCUGGACAUUAUUAUUGCAUGAGUAGCAACCGUGGUCCAGUGUUCACACAGUGAUAAAGAGUCGUACAAAAACCUCCGUCAGUCAGAGUCACAGUGACUGAACUGAAACUGCAGCUGCUCACACACACACACACACACACAC